rnacentral:lncRNA from 1 species
UUGGUGUACAGACUUUAAAUGCAUGGCAUUUUGUUAUUCCAUAAGUAUCAUUAUACAUGUUAUAUAUUAUCCAGAUAACAAUGAAUAAGAAUUAAUAGAACUAAAUUUUAUGUUUUAUAAGGCCAAAUAUAAUUGUAUGUGUGGUUCCUGUCACAUAUAAAACUAGAGACACUAAGGAGCCUGUGUGUCUCUCACCUGAUAUCUUUAUUUACAAUUGAUGCAUGAAAUAAUGUAACCGUUAUACUUUUGCUUUAGUUUUUGAGCACAUUGGGCCAGGUGAGCUAAAAAUGUAAGGGUAGGUAGCUAGGUCAUGUAGGUAAAAAUAGAUUUUUUAUUUUAUUUCCUGUGUUUUGGUGUGUUUUUUUAUAAUGAGUAUAUCAUUGUCUAUGAGAGCAGCAGUCCGACUUUCACAGUGCUUAACAAAAACGUCUUAAGGGUAGGCUAUUAUUAAGACUAAAAAUUAGGGUAUUGGAACCACACAUAUGUUUAUUUGGCCUAAUAUACAUACAUGAUACAUACAUUGAUUGUUUCAAAAACAUUUCAUGAAGAUUAACAUAAUUCAUAAUGUAUAUUUGUUAUAUAUCAAAAAC